AUUAGGAAUCUUGCACAAUGGGCGAAAGCCUGAUGCAGCGACGUCGCGUGGGGGAUGAAAUCUUUCGGGAUGUAAACUCCUUUUAACGGGGAAGAAACAAAUGACGGUACCCGUUGAAUAAGCCCCGGCUAACUACGUGCCAGCAGCCGCGGUAAUACGUAGGGGGCGAGCGUUGUCCGAAGUUACUGGGCGUAAAGCGCGCGUAGGCGGGCUCUUAAGUGAGGGGUGAAAGGUUUGGGCUCAACCCAAACACUGCCUUUCAUACUGGGAGCCUUGAGUAUGGGAGAGGCGAGUGGAAUGGUCGGUGUAGCGGUGAAAUGCGUAGAUAUCGAUCGGAACACCCAUGGCGAAGGCAGCUCGCUGGCCUAAAACUGACGCUGAGGCGCGAAAGCGUGGGGAGCAAACAG
rnacentral:rRNA from 1 species